GAUUUCUGGUUAAUUAUCCUAGCCCGCUUCCUUCGGGGGGUGAGUGCUGGUAUAACUAUCCAUCCUUCCAGAGAGCCGUGAGUACCCUUUACUGGGCCGCUCGCGUGCGAUCUGGAUCGUUUACUUUGAAAAAAUUAGAGUGUUUAAAGCAGGCUUACGCCUUGAAUACAUUAGCAUGGAAUAAUAACAUAGGACUUCGGUUCUAUUUUGUUGGUUUCUAGGACCUUAGUAAUGAUUGAUAGGGAUAGUUGGGGGUGCUAGUAUUCAGCGGCCAGAGGUGAAAUUCUUGGAUUCGCUGAAGACUAACUACUGCGAAAGCAUU
rnacentral:rRNA from 1 species